rnacentral:lncRNA from 1 species
AUGCCGGUCCACCUACACUCUCCCGCUCCUGUUCCUCACUUUCCUCAAGUUUGCAGCAGUGAUUCUUUGCAUUUCUUUAGGAUAAAAGCAGCACGAUAUCAGGCAGCGGUCAAAGAGCAGGUCUACUUUCCCUCGUUCUCCCCCUCUCUUGUUUUCUGCCUCUGGCAAAUCAUUCCCUCUCCUCUCCUCUUCUCUUCUCUUCUUUUCUUCUUUUUUUUUCUCUUUCUCUGUUCUUGUUGGGCUGUAAUUUAUGAUGUUGCAGCAGCACAAAUGAGAUGAAGUUUUUAUAACAGACGCCUGCUGACACACUUUAGCUCCCCUCUCUCUGUUAGGGAAGUUAUUGGGCUUGUUAGUAACGGUCAUAAAAAGCUCGGGGCCGUUCACACUGUGCUUGUCAUGAUGUAGUUUAGUUAAUGUCAUUGUUUCAAGAGGGUGAAGUUAAUAAUCACUACUUCUCAAUGUGCUGCACACACACACACACACACACACACACACACACACACACACACACACACACACACCACACACACACAAAAUUAAAUAGUAUAUAUAUAUAUAUAUAUAUGUAUGUAUAUGUAUGUAUAUUAUUUAUAUAUUAUUUACAGCACAUUUUAUCUAUCAUCUAUUUUUUCUAAACUUCUUAGGGUAUAAUUUUUUAAUGCAAAUGUUUAUGGUGUUUCUCCUCACAGUAACAGCAUACAACUGUCUAAAAGCUAUUUGCAAAUCAGUAUUACAUUUAUAACUUGCUUUAAAUGGUGUAUUCUUAAUUGUAAACAACCUUUUAGCUUUGAAAUGUAUAGGAUAAUCUGCAAAAAAUGGCCAAAAUUGGCAAAAAUUUAAACUGAAUUCAAGGUUUUAGGGUUUCUCAUCUGCUUUGUAACUGUUAGAAUAGUUUAUUUAAUUGUAACUCUAUUGGUGAUCAGAUGUGAUUGAAUGUUCAGUGAAUGUCUCUAAGCACCAUUGAGGCUGGAUUUCUCUGUUUCAGCAGCUUAAGAUCUCUGAAAUGUGUGUGUGUGUGUGUGUGUGUGUGUGUGUGUGUGUGUGUGUGUGUGUGUGUGUGUGUGUGUGUGUGUGUGUGUGUGUGUGUUUGUAGCUCAGUUGGCUCUCAGCUCUAAUCCUCACUGAUCUGUUGAGACUACACACAUACGGCUGUGAUAAUACUCUCAUUUUCUGCUCACCUGAACACUGACAAUUCGCACACACCGUCUCUCUCUCUCUCACACACGGGUCUUUAACAGCAGCUUAGGAAAGUUAAAGACAUACAGAUUAAGCAUAAAAGAGGCAGAGGAGUGAAGAGAUACUCUUUCAUCCAUUCAUGAGCUUGCAUUCGGCCUCUUUCUCUCUUGUAUCUUCUUGCUGUGUGGCCUGUGGAUAAAGUAAACACAUGAAUGAGAAUGAGGCUCUUAAACAACCUCAUGUAUUCAUAAGCACACACACACACAGAUGGACAUUUGAACAUAUCAUCCAUUGAUGACUGAUACCUAUGAGAUGAUUGAUAGAGAUGUUUUCCAUGCAUAUUCUCUUGAAAAUCUUUGAUUGGCAACAUACAACUCAUGCUCAUCUUAAAAGAAGUCCAUAUUUCAGUUUUAUUGCAUGUAAAAUACCAUGAAAAGAUUAUCAGUGAACAAUUUAAAAGUUGACUUGCAUAAUAUAAUGAAGUACACUCAUACAGGACACAUGUAUGGUGUUUUAUAUCCCUUUUUUGGAGCUUGACUGGCAUUAUCUCUAUAUUAUUAUAUCUAUUGCUAUUACAUUAUUGUUGUUACUAUAAUAAUUGAUUGGAAAAGAGCUGUAUAAAUAAUAUUCUUUAAAAUGUAUCCUUUUGUGUUCCACAGGUUUGGAACAACAUGUGUGUGAGUACUGCACAUAAUGAUUUAAUUGUUCAAUUUAAUGUUAAACUAAGUGUUUUGGAUACAAUUUUGAAUGUACCAUUUGAUUGUAGCAAGAAAAAAAAUACAUUUCAUUAUAUUUUUUUUUUAAACAAUGAAAAUGUAGUAGCUGUUUAAAUAUACAGUACUGUUCAAAAGUUUGGGGUUGUUACGAUUUCUUAAUGUUUUUGAAAGAAGUUUCUUCUGCUUACCAAGGCUGCAUUUAUUUGAUCAAAAAUACAGUAAAAACAGUAAUAAAGUGAAAAAAUAUUUCUGCAUGCAGCAUGCUAUUUUUACUUUUCAUUUGAUCAAAACAUGCAUUUAUUGGUUGAAAAAUAUAUGAGAAAAAGUAAUCAUUGCAGUCUUUAGUGUCACAUGAUCAUGAAAUUAUUCUAAUAUGCUGAUUUGCUGCUCAAGAAACAUUUAUUAUGAGAAUCAACAUUGAAAACAGUUGUCAUACUAAAUAUUUUUGUGGCAACUGUGAUACAUUUUUUAAUCCUUGCUGAAUGAGAGUAUUCAUUUAUUUAAAAUCUUACUGACCCCAAACAUGUGAACGGUUUUAUGCUUAAUAUUUCAAGUAUAGCAUUAUGCUUAAUUAAUCCUCGCAUACCUGCUGUCUGAUAUCUGAGAGGGUCUUUUUUCAUGGUCUUCUCUCAUUAGUGAUGAACACUGUUAGUCCAGUCAAAGAUCUGCAGUUCUUCUGGCUCUGAGCCUAUAACAUGCCAAAACCCCAUAUGUUCUUUACUCAUGACAACACAACACACGCUUCAGCCCAGAGAGAGGCACCUGCUGUGACGGCGGUCCGAGAUGCUCUCAUUUUCUGGUUUUCUCACAUCUUUUUGGUUUAAAUCUGCUUUUUCUCUCCACCUUUACUCAUUGUUUCAUCUGGUGUUUCUAGUUAAAGAGAGAGUUCAACCACAUAUGAAAAUUCUGUCAUUGUUUACUCAUCUAAUUCCCUUCCAAAUCUGCAUGCAGUUAUUGUUUAGAACAAAUAAGGGGAAAUUUAGAAGGAUAUUUUCCAUACAAUGAGAGAUAAUAAUGACCACAUCUGUCAAGCUCCAAUAAGGACAAAAACACCAUAUAUGAAUCAUAAAACUAGUCUGUAUGACUUGUGGGCUGAAGUUUAGUAAAAGUUUGCUUUUGAAAUAAGUCUCUUCAAGGCUGCAUUUAUUUGAUCAAAAAUACAGUAAUAUUGUGAAAUAUUAUUAUUUCCAGUUAAUAAAUACAGUCCUUAAGUUUUUCAUUUAAUAUUUUUAUUUUAUUCUAUCUUAAUUUAAAGUUCUAUAUUUACACUUUUAUAUGUAUAUAUUAGGGCUGUCAAAUGAUUAAUCACGAUUAAUCGCAUCCAAAAUAAAAGUUUUGUUUACAUAAUAUAUGUGUGUAUACUGUGUAUAUUUAUUAUGUAUAUAUAAAUACACACACAUGCAUGUAUAUAUUUAAGAAGAAUAUGUUAUGUUUAUAUAUUAAAUAUAUUUAUAUAUAAUAUAAAAU